rnacentral:rRNA from 1 species
UGAACCUGAGAGUUUGAUCCUGGCUCAGAGCGAACGCUGGCGGCAUGCUUAACACAUGCAAGUCGCACGAACCUUUCGGGGUUAGUGGCGGACGGGUGAGUAACGCGUAGGAACCUAUCUGGAGGUGGGGGA